rnacentral:rRNA from 1 species
UACGAAGGGGGCUAGCGUUGCUCGGAAUGACUGGGCGUAAAGGGCGCGUAGGCGGUUUGUACAGUCAGAUGUGAAAUUCCCGGGCUCAACCUGGGGGCUGCAUCUGAUACGUAUGGACUUGAGUGGGGAAGAGGGUCGUGGAAUUCCAGGUGUAGCGGUGAAAUGCGUAGAUAUCUGGAGGAACACCGGUGGCGAAGGCGGCAUCCUGGACCGGCACUGACACUGAGGAGCGAAAGCCAGGGGAGCAAACGGG